rnacentral:lncRNA from 1 species
CAAAUACAACUAAUAGAAUCUUGACUAAUAGAGAGCUUGGUCCUAGGGAGCAGGCAUUGUGAGUAACAGAACUUAAGGGAUGAUUUCAACUUGAGGCAGCAAGGCUGCAUUCUGUGUUUUCAGGGUGAUGUUGCAGUCAGUGGCGAGCUUCAGUCCCAGGAGCCUGGAUGAAAGUAGACACAGAACGAGAGAUCAAGGAUGCAACAAGGAAGAAACAUCUUCCCUGUUAGUACCCAGUGAACUGAGACUGGGCUAGAAAAUCACAUCUGUUGUAAAAUCAGAAAGGGUCAUACCUGGAGCAGAUGGAAAUUACACUAAAGAAAUAAUGGACAUCACCUGAAGAUCCUGAAUGGAGAGCAGUGGUUCUGUGAAAUCUCCUUUGGGUGCAGUAGCUGGGUGUGGCUUUGCCACUAGGGAGAAGAUGGUUGUGUUACAUAAAGUAAGGUCAUAUUUGGAAUUUCAUGUGUAGCGGAAGAGGGUGUAUAUAUGUUGAGUAGAAA